AACGAACGCUGGCGGCAGGCCUAACACAUGCAAGUCGAGCGAGGACUUCGGUCCUAGCGGCGGACGGGUGAGUAACGCGUGGGAACGUGCCCUUUGCUACGGAAUAGCCCCGGGAAACUGGGAGUAAUACCGUAUGUGCCCGAGAGGGGAAAGAUUUAUCGGCAAAGGAUCGGCCCGCGUUGGGUUAGGUAGUUGGUGGGGUAAUGGCCUACCAAGCCGACGAUCCAUAGCUGGUUUGAGAGGAUGAUAAGCCACACUGGGACUGAGACACGGCCCAGACUCCUACGGGAGGCAGCGGAGGGGAAUCUUAGACAAUGGGGGAAACCCUGAUCUAGCCAUGCCGCGUGAGCGAUGAAGGCCUUAGGGUUGUAAAGCUCUUUCAGUGGGGAAGAUAAUGACGGUACCCACAGAAGAAGCCCCGGCUAACACCGUGCCAGCCGCCGCCGUAAUAC
rnacentral:rRNA from 1 species